UAGCUCAGUUGGUAGAGUGCUUGCCUUGCAUGCAGAAGGCCCUGGGUUCAAUCCUCAG
rnacentral:tRNA from 1 species